rnacentral:rRNA from 1 species
GUGCCAGCAGCCGCGGUAAUACCGGCAGCUCGAGUGAUGACCGAUUUUAUUGGGCCUAAAGCGUCCGUAGCUGGCCGCGCAAGUCUGUCGGGAAAUCCACCCGCUUAACGGGUGGGCGUCCGGCGGAAACUGUGCGGCUUGGGACAGGAAGGCUCGAGGGGUACGUUCGGGGUAGGAGUGAAAUCCCGUAAUCCUGAACGGACCACCGAUGGCGAAAGCACCUCGCGAGAACGGAUCCGACAGUGAGGGACGAAAGCCAGGGUCUCGAACCGGAUUAGAAACCCUGGUAGUCC